rnacentral:snRNA from 1 species
GGAUGUGAGGACGAUCUGGCUGUGACAUCUGUCACCCCAUUGAUCGCCAGGUUGAUUCGGCUGAUCUGGCUGGCUAGGCAGGUGUCCCCUUCCUCCCUCAGCGCUCCAUGUGCGUCCCUCCUGAAGCUGGGCGCUCAGGUGAAGAGGGCGACCUUCUCCGAAUAGAGGAGAACCAGUGUUUGGUCAAGGGUGUACUAGUAGCUGCACCCCCCUGCUAGAACCCCCAAACAAGCUCUCAAGAUAGCUAGAGGGUUCUACUUUUAUUUUACAAACUUUGUGUAAGUGCCAAGUGCCUUAAUGCACUUUUCU